AUCCCCCCUCCAUUGCAUUCACAGCACCAGAAGGGACAAAGGAAGCAUUCAUUGAACGCUGAGUGAAGGGGUCAUGACCUAAUAAGUUUGGUCAGUAAGACUGCUGAAUUGUGGUGUGACUUCUUCUUCGUUCAUACAUCAGAAGACAGACAGUUAAGAAGCCUUUAUCAUUUCUUCUAGAGCAGGAGCUGGAUUAAAGUACUCUGUGGGUUUGCUUGGCAAGAUUAAAGUUUUCCUCAGAAAAGAAUGGUGAUAAAAGCCUUGACAUGCUUUCCCCAUGGAAAAGAUGUUUCUAUCAAGCAGAUGGGUGGAUAUUCCUCAAUCUUUCUAAUACGAAUUAAUGGAAAUUAAAAAAGGAUUUAUUGACUGAUGGCAGAUGGCUGGAGGAUUUUGUGGAGGUGCAUCUUGUGUAAAUUACAGCAACAGCAUACUCAACCUCUUGCUGUGGAUGAAAGGCCACAUCUUCCCCACAUCUCUGCCCACAGCUUCCAUUCUGUUCUGCUAUACCAGUCCAUUCCUCUCCCUCCCUUGCUUUGGAAACACACAGCCCAAGAAGAGAAUCAAGUUUGUUGCUUUCCAAUAUCUGAACAUUCUCCUGAUCCUCUUUGCUCUGGCUUUGUGAGUCACAUUGAGUCUGGGUGGACUCAUAAGUGAGUGCACCGACUGAGACAGGGCAAUGGGCUGGCAAUUUGAAGGUGUGCAACACUCCAACUACUGGCAGGCUUAUAGGGAAAUGAGGCACAGGGAGUAAAAACAGGCCAAACUAAUUCCCACAUUGCUUUCAGCAUGGCAUAAAUCUCCCUCAAGCCUCUGGCUGAGUCUUGGGAGUUCUGUAAAUAGCACUGUCAUGCUGGGCUGAACAUGCCAGAUAUGGAGACAACUGAGAUGCAGAAUUUAGGGUGCUACUCCCCUUGUGGCUGUACUGAUAUUAGGUCAAAGCCCAAUGUGUCCUUCAGUCAGAGCAGCUGAUGCACUACCAGGAAAUUUUAAUUUGUUUUUGGACAACUAUUCUUGAAGCUUGGUUAUUUGCAUUCCUGUUGUCUUUCCACAACCCCAUGUACUGGUAGUUAUGACCCCCUGUAUCCAUGUACCUCCUGCCCAAAGGCACCCCAUGAGAUAGGACCUCCCACAACUCCUGUGCAGGGUGAGACAGGCCAAUCUGGGAUCCACUCAACUACUUCUCAGAUGAAGCAAAUGGCACCAGUAGCAACCCUCGCCUCAUCGGGAGGGAACCCCCCCAACUGUGGAGGCAGAGGAGAGAGAUCCAGGUCAGGCUGGUCUUCCUUCUGAACAAUGUAUAGACCCAGAAGCUGGAAUCGGCACUCCAUCCCUUACUCUGGGAAAUCAAUCUUCCUGCUACUGCUGGCUAAAGGUUGUUGGUCCUGAAACUCAAGUAUUAGCAGCCUAUCUUGUAGUACUGUACAUGUGGGGUUCAAACCAUGCUGAUUCUUGAUGGGUGUCAAUUGCACAUAAUAGGACUUGUUUCCUUUUUCCAUUUUGAAACAUAGGAAAUUACACACAAACUAUAUAACAAAGUUAUUUAGGUUAGGAAGUCAAGCACUCAAAAGUUAGGAAAACCAGAUUUAAUGUUGUCUGUAGAGCAUUAAUUCUGAUCACUUGUGCAAAUGCAUUAUGAAACAGACUUUAGUUAUAACCUAUUUUUCCCACUUUUUCAGCACACAAUUUGGCACAUGAGCAGGAUGAAUUAAGAUUGUUUAAGCAACCAUAAAUCUGGCAUUUCCUAACUUUCAAGUUUUUGACUUCACAAGAAUGUUUUAUUUUAACUUAGAUUUUUUUUGUCUGUAACUAUAUUAUAAAAACAUUCAGAG